UUCAGAUUUGUCACUACUCUGUGUUGUUGGAUAGCCAUGAAAUUGAUGGCGGUGGCUCAGAGGCGUCAUGGUGAAUGGCGAAGCUUCUAAAAUGGACGGAAGAGAGGUGGUGACUCGCGGCUGGGAGACGUACAUAUUUGAGGAAAUACGAUUCAUAAGGUUUCAUAUUAACAAAAAAUGAUGAUCUUUGUAAAGUAAUAUGAACAUUUUGUUGAUUCCGGGACAAUUUUAUUCUCCAAUAUGAAUCCGUAAGAAAAGAUAUGACAAUACAUUUGUGCAAA